GGUUCUAUGGUGUAGUGGUUAGCACUCUGGACUCUGAAUCCAGUUGUCUGAGUUUAAAUCUCAGUGGAACCU
rnacentral:tRNA from 2 species